UACGGAAGGUCCGGGCGUUAUCCGGAUUUAUUGGGUUUAAAGGGAGCGUAGGCCGGUCUUUAAGCGUGCCGUGAAAUUUUGUGGCUCAACCAUGAGAGUGCGGCGCGAACUGGAGACCUUGAGUGCGCGGAAGGCAGGCGGAAUUCGUGGUGUAGCGGUGAAAUGCUUAGAUAUCACGAAGAACCCCGAUUGCGAAGGCAGCGUACCGGCUCCACACUGACGCUGAGGCACGAAAGCGUGGGUAUCGAACAGG
rnacentral:rRNA from 1 species